rnacentral:rRNA from 1 species
AGAGUUUGAUCAUGGCUCAGAACGAACGUUGGCGGCGUGGAUUAGGCAUGCAAGUCGAACGAAUCCCAGACCUGUAGCAAUACAGGGAUGGGGGAAGUGGCGAAAGGGGCAGUAAGGCGUGGGUAACCUACCCCGGGGACCGGGAUAGCCUUCCUAACGGAAGGGUAAUACCGGGCGAUGCGGCCGAGAGGCAUCUUUUGGCCGUGAGAUGAAUUUCGCCUCGGGAGGGGCUCACGUGAUAUUAGCUUGUUGGUGGGGUAACGGCCUACCAAGGCAAAGAUGUCUAGCGGGUGUGAGAGCACGACCCGCGCCACUGGCACUGAGACACUGGCCAGACUCCUACGGGAGGCUGCAGUCGAGGAUCUUCGGCAAUGGGCGCAAGCCUGACCGAGCGACGCCGCGUGUGCGAUGAAGGCCUUCGGGUUGUAAAGCACUGUCGAAGGGGAGGAAGCCGAAAGGUUGACCUAUCCCUGGAGGAAGCACGGGCUAAGUUCGUGCCAGCAGCCGCGGUAAGACGAACCGUGCGAACGUUGUUCGGAAUCACUGGGCUUAAAGGGCGCGUAGGCGGGCAGUCAAGUCCGGGGUGAAAUCUUUCGGCUCAACCGGAAAAGUGCCUUGGAUACUGAUUGUCUAGAGGGAGAUAGGGGUAUGUGGAACUUCCGGUGGAGCGGUGAAAUGCGUUGAUAUCGGAAGGAACGCCGGUGGCGAAAGCGACGUACUGGAUCUCUUCUGACGCUGAGCGCGAAAGCCAGGGGAGCGAACGGGAUUAGAUACCCCGGUAGUCCUGGCCCUAAACGAUGGGUACUAGGUAGUAGACUUUCAUGGGUUUACUGCCGAAGCAAAAGUGGUAAGUACCCCGCCUGGGGAGUAUGGUCGCAAGGCUGAAACUCAAAGGAAUUGACGGGGCUCACAACAAGCGGUGGGAGCAUGUGG